GACGAACGCUGGUGGCGUGCUUAACACAUGCAAGUCGAACGGUGAUGCUCCAGCUUGCUGGAGUGGAUCAGUGGCGAACGGGUGAGUAACACGUGAGCAACCUGCCCCAGACUCUGGAAUAAGCGCUGGAAACGGCGUCUAAUACUGGAUACGAAACUGGCCCGCAUGGGCAUGGUUUGGAAAGUUUUUCGGUUUGGGAUGGGCUCGCGGCCUAUCAGCUUGUUGGUGAGGUAAUGGCUCACCAAGGCGACGACGGGUAGCCGGCCUGAGAGGGCGACCGGCCACACUGGGACUGAGACACGGCCCAGACUCCUACGGGAGGCAGCAGUGGGGAAUAUUGCACAAUGGGCGAAAGCCUGAUGCAGCGACGCCGCGUGAGGGAUGACGGCCUUCGGGUUGUAAACCUCUUUCAGCAGGGAAGAAGCGAAAGUGACGGUACCUGCAGAAGAAGCACCGGCUAACUACGUG
rnacentral:rRNA from 1 species